UAGGGAAUCUUCCACAAUGGACGCAAUUCUGAUGGAGCAACGCCGCGUGAGUGAAGAAGGUUUUCGGAUCGUAAAGCUCUGUUGUUGGUGAAGAAGGAUAGAGGCAGUAACUGGUCUUUAUUUGACGGUAAUCAACCAGAAAGUCACGGCUAACUACGUGCCAGCAGCCGCGGUAAUACGUAGGUGGCAAGCGUUGUCCGGAUUUAUUGGGCGUAAAGCGAGCGCAGGCGGAAUGUUAAGUCUGAUGUGAAAGCCCACGGCUCAACCGUGGAACUGCAUCGGAAACUGUCAUUCUUGAGUGCAGAAGAGGAGAGUGGAAUUCCAUGUGUAGCGGUGGAAUGCGUAGAUAUAUGGAAGAACACCAGUGGCGAAGGCGGCUCUCUGGUCUGCAACUGACGCUGAGGCUCGAAAGCAUGGGUAGCGAACAGG
rnacentral:rRNA from 1 species